CAUGUCAGCAAGGGUUGCUCGCACAGGAUACAGAAAGCAUUCACCAUGGAGGAGAAUUUAAAUGUUGGACUACAUUAAAAUGAAAACCUUGGUUCCAUUAAGACAGUGAAAAGAAGCCCAUGGACUGGCAGUGGCACAGGGAGACAGAUGACAGAGCUGUGAGCGCCAGCAGCUGGCUCCUCCAGGACGAAAUGUCCAGCGCCUGGGGGACAGCGGCUUGGAGAGGAAGGGGGUGAGAGGAGAGUACAAGGGAACAACGAGGGUGCUGACAGAAGGGAGGAAAAUAGGAUUAAGUACAGGCGAGCCUGGCUGCUCCGCGGAGGAGAAGCCGCGGGGCUAUGGACGGUGGCUGGCCGCCAGCCAGGAAGUACAGUGAAAGUAACAACAGCUCUGCUCACCGAGAGCAGCCUGGGACCAGGGGAAUUGCGUGCAGCUGGAGACAGCAGGAAGAAGGCGAGACUCUGCUUCCUGAGCAGCCCCCAAAGGCAACUUUGAGAAAAGUUUCUUCUUGAUGUUACCCAAGCAAGAAUUUCCACCUCGGGUUUUGCCAGCUGGGAACAUAAUCUAACACCGUUGGUGAGGAAAGUAGUCCCCAGAAGCACUGCGCCACUCAGCCACUAGAUGACAACGAGAACCUCAUCACUGGUGGUGGAUGAAAUACGGUGCUCUGACCUACUGCAGUCAUGCAGUUGCUGGGAUGCUCACCUGGGACAAAAUAUAUCACGAAGAGGCUGCAUUAAAUAGUAGGCUGGCUCCGGAUGUGUGAGGGAAACAUGGGGGUGGAUACACAGAGCGGUUUGUACUACCUUUUGCAACUUUUUAUAAAUUAUAAUUAUUUCAAAAUAAAAAGUUAAAAAUGACAA